GUGUGUCUUAGGGUGUCUAGUGUCUUAGUGUGUCUAGUGUCUUAGUGUGUCUUGUGUCUUAGGGUGUCUAGUGUCUUGUUGUGUCUUGUGUCUUAGUGUGUCUAGUGUCUUUGUGUGUCUUGUGUCUUAGUGUGUCUUAGUGUGUCUUAGGGUGUCUUAGUGUGUCUUAGGGUGUCUUAGUGUGUCGUGUGUCUUAGUGUGUCGUGUGUCUUAGUGUGUCGUGUGUCUUAGUGUGUCUUAGUGUGUCUUAGGGUGUCUAGUGGUGUCUUAGUGUGUCUUAGUGUGUCUUGUAUGUCAGUGUGUCUCAUGUCAAGCACACUGAUUAUUACAGCAAAAACUGAUAAUCAUAAUACUGUACUGAGAUCUACCCAAUCAUACUCCUCAUGAGCUGUUUAACUCAGUGAGUCUUAAUGACAGGUCACGUGUUUUCAGUUUUGUUUUUAAUGAACAGUGCUAGCGCCAGGCGUUUUUGGCUGCCCUUCCUGCCCAGAUGAGUCAUAUUCACCAAAUUUUUGUGUAAUGAGUGUAAUAAAUCUUUUUAUCCAUGCCUUUGAAAAGUCUAAUAAGGUCAUUGUUAUCAUUAGAUGACAAUAAAAUAAAUAAUUUAAAAUAAAACAAAUGCUAUUUGUAUUACUCUGUAGCUUUGUGCUAACUGUGGAUGUAUUAAACUGUGAUAAUACUUGGGAACAUUUCUGCG
ensembl:lncRNA